UCAUUCUAGAAUCACUUUCCAGUAAUUCUACUAUGUUACGACUUAUCUUAUUUUAUAUUAUUUAUAAAGAAAUAAGAGCGACGGGCGAUGUGUACAUAUUUUAGAGCUAUAAUCAAAUUUACUAAAUACAAAAAUUUACUAUCAAAUCCACCUUCUAAAUUAUAUUUCAAUAACUUUUUCGUUUAAAUAUAUUUAUUGUAACCCAUUUCUUCCUUAAACAUAAACUGCACCUUGACCUGAUAUUCUUUUUUAAAAAAUUAAGAAAAUUAUUACUCUUACAAGAUAAUCAAUAACGGCGGUAUACAAGUUGAAAACAAGCUUAAGUAAAGUCCUCGUGGAUUAUCGAUUAUAGAACAGGUUCCUCUGAAUAGAUUAAAAUACCGCCAAAUUCUUUAAGUUUCAAGAACAUAACUAUUACUACUAAGGUAUUUUUAAUUACUACUUAAAUAAUAGGGUAUCUAAUCCUAGUUUAUUAACUAAAUUUUUCUAGCUUCAAUUAAUCAAUUUAUAGAUUAAUUUAAUUUUAAAAUUUCACCUAACAAAAUCAAAUUAAUUUAUACAUUUACAAUCUAACUAUUACCAAAAAAAUUUAUUUAUAUUUUAUGUAUAACCGCGGCUGCUGGCACAAAUUUUACCAAUAUUAAAUAAUAUUACUAAUUCUUAAUUUCUUAAAUAUAUAAUAUCAAUUACUGCGAAUAAAUAAAUAUAAUAAAUUUUUAAUUUUUAUAUAAUUCAUACAAAAAUUUACAUGUAAAGUAAAUUAUAAACAAAUUUUAAAGAAAGAAUAAAACUUUAA
rnacentral:rRNA from 1 species